rnacentral:rRNA from 1 species
CCUACGGGAGGCAGCAGUGGGGAAUUUUGGACAAUGGGCGAAAGCCUGAUCCAGCAAUGCCGCGUGAGUGAAGAAGGCCUUCGGGUUGUAAAGCUCUUUUGUCAGGGAAGAAACGGUGAGAGCUAAUAUCUUUUGCUAAUGACGGUACCUGAAGAAUAAGCACCGGCUAACUACGUGCCAGCAGCCGCGGUAAUACGUAGGGUGCAAGCGUUAAUCGGAAUUACUGGGCGUAAAGCGUGCGCAGGCGGUUUUGUAAGUCUGAUGUGAAAUCCCCGGGCUCAACCUGGGAAUUGCAUUGGAGACUGCAAGGCUAGAAUCUGGCAGAGGGGGGUAGAAUUCCACGUGUAGCAGUGAAAUGCGUAGAUAUGUGGAGGAACACCGAUGGCGAAGGCAGCCCCCUGGGUCAAGAUUGACGCUCAUGCACGAAAGCGUGGGGAGCAAACAGGAUUAGAUACCCUGGUAGUCCACGCCCUAAACGAUGUCUACUAGUUGUCGGGUCUUAAUUGACUUGGUAACGCAGCUAACGCGUGAAGUAGACCGCCUGGGGAGUACGGUCGCAAGAUUAAAACGUCAAAUUGAAAUUGACCGG